GCCCAUGUAGCUUAAGGGAGAGCGUUGGUGACAAAGGCGUCGGUUGGAAUCCGUCUAAGGGCA
rnacentral:tRNA from 1 species